rnacentral:piRNA from 1 species
GGACGCAAGCUUCGGCCUACCUGC